GGUAACAGGAAGCAGCUUGCUGCUUUGCUGACGAGUGGCGGACGGGUGAGUAAUGUCUGGGAAACUGCCNGAUGGAGGGGGAUAACUACUGGAAACGGUAGCUAAUACCGCAUAACGUCGCAAGACCAAAGAGGGGGACCUUAGGGCCUCUUGCCAUCGGAUGUGCCCAGAUGGGAUUAGCUAGUAGGUGGGGUAACGGCUCACCUAGGCGACGAUCCCUAGCUGGUCUGAGAGGAUGACCAGCCACACUGGAACUGAGACACGGUCCAGACUCCUACGGGAGGCAGCAGUGGGGAAUAUUGCACAAUGGGCGCAAGCCUGAUGCAGCCAUGCCGCGUGUAUGAAGAAGGCCUUCGGGUUGUAAAGUACUUUCAGCGGGGAGGAAGGGAGUAAAGUUAAUACCUUUGCUCAUUGACGUUACCCAAAGGGAUUCCCACCUCUUUAAUUUCCCUGGACGUCUAAAAACGAAGGGGGCUUCCUUUUUGAAUAAUAGAGAUAAUUCCCCCCCUGGGGUGUGUCCCCCCAAGUUAAUUCUCUGAACAUGCGGGGCAUUCCCCCGAGAUGGAAAUUGGGUUUCUCCAGGGCGUGCCUUCCGGGGGAACGCUAAAUGCCAACACUUUGGAGAAUACACAGGGUGAUGCAAACCCUUGACAACCCAGACUUUAGGUCUAACCUUGUCUCCACCAGGCGCAUCCCCCACGUUCCGCCCAAAAUAAUUCACUUGAAGUCUCCCCGGAAGUCGCCCUCCCAACAAACUAUUAUUCCCCUCCAGGGUUUUCCCAGAGGGGCCAAGUAAUUAAAUUUAGUGCCACACGCCGGGGGGGAUUAGGCCAUUUAUCAAAACAGGAAGCCCCCCUUUCCGGCCCCAGGAAUGAAUAAGAGAUUUUUCCUCGGAAAAGGAGAAGGGAGGGAGGAUUUCACCCCCCCGCGAAAAUUUUGUAACCCGGAGGUGUACCAUUCACUUGUGCCCGUGUGGGGGCGCGAGAAAAACCCCCUUCCCCAGAGAAGGGGGUGUUUUUAUUUCUGGGGGGAGACCAAAAAACAGGGGAGCUUCGAGAGAGUC
rnacentral:rRNA from 1 species